ACUGCGGCCGGUGGCAGUAGAGCUUUGCGGCAGUCGGCCUGAAAGUUCGCGUCAAACCCCUGAAAAACCUUAAGCUUUUAAGCUCAAAAAUUGAGCUUAAUUUUCGUGGCCGUUAUUUAAAAAGGAUUUGCGAUGGCUGCACCCGAAGAAGGAACUCCUGGUGGUCUGACCGUGGACGAGCCCCAGACUGGGGAGGAUGGGGAAAUCAUCGGCGGACCCCGCACUCCUCAGCAGAUUGCGGCGCAGAAGAGGCUACAGCAGACCAGGGCGCAAGUCGAUGAGGUGGUCGAUAUUAUGAAGACGAAUGUUGAAAAGGUUCUGGACAGAGAUGCGAAGUUAUCAGAAUUAGACGACAGAGCAGAUGCUUUACAACAAGGAGCGUCACAAUUCGAGCAGCAAGCAAAGAGCUUGAAGAACAAAUUCUGGUUACAAAAUCUAAAAAUGAUGAUAAUAAUGGGCGUGAUUGGAAUUGUAAUAAUAGGGCUACUGUUCGGUGAUAACAUUAAACAAAUGUUUGGUUAGUUCGGUACCGGGGCACCCCUACCAUCAGUGCCGUCUCAGCACCGGCGGUCACCAAUGGUACCCUCCCUUCUAUUCCUAACCAUUGAAAAUACAUGUAACUUGUUCGCAUCAGGUGGGUUCCACUCCAGAUGAGAAGAAAACAGUAUAAAUUAUAUAUUUGAUCGGCAAUAUUGUCCAUUACAAUACUUUAUAAAACAUAAUUUUAAAAAUCACAAAUGUUAUUCAAAAGAAUACUUUAAAAUAUUUUAUACAUAGAAUAGAAACGAAUGCAGCCAAUAAACGGUCAUUACUUAAUUUUAGUGUAAAGCUUAAUUCCAUCUUAGCAACGUACAGUCGACAGUACAUUUACCUAUCCACAUUCAUUGCAAACUCGCCUGUAUUAUUGCGACAUAAAGAUCCACGCAGGGUAACUUGACGUGCGGUCGACUGUAGGUCGAUUGGCACAAGGUGUAUGUUGUCACUUAUUUAAUUUAUAUAU